rnacentral:lncRNA from 1 species
GAGCAGUAUUUAUUUUUACAGUACUAAUUUAUCCAAUAAUCUUAAGACAAUAGUUGAGAUGGCACAUACUCUACAAUCACUUACCAUAGAUUUUGUUAAGUUGAAUCAUUUUGAUAGAGGGAAUUUUAGGUGCAAGUAGAAGAAAGUGCGGUUUCUUCUUUUAUCUUUGGGUAUUGGUUAUAUUCUCAACACCUCAAAACCACAAGAGCAUGAAAAUG